rnacentral:tRNA from 1 species
GUCCCCGUGGUGUAGCGGCAGCAUUGCUGAUUCUCACUCAGUAGGUAGGGGUUCAACUCCCCUCGGGGGUAC